GACGUAGGGCGCAAGCGUUGUCCGGAUUUAUUGGGCGUAAAGAGCUCGUAGGCGGCUUGUCGCGUCGACUGUGAAAACUCACGGCUCAACCGUGGAACUGCAGUCGAUACGGGCAGGCUAGAGUUCGGUAGGGGAGACUGGAAUUCCUGGUGUAGCGGUGAAAUGCGCAGAUAUCAGGAGGAACACCGGUGGCGAAGGCGGGUCUCUGGGCCGAUACUGACGCUGAGGAGCGAAAGCGUGGGGAGCGAACAGG
rnacentral:rRNA from 1 species